GAGAAGAAGAUGACUGAGGGUCAUCAGGAAGCUUUGACUGCACAAGCUGCAGACCAAGCUGGGGCUGUGCAAAAUGAAGUUGAAGCUAGGGAUUUGCAAUCCUUGGGCACUUCUUCUACAGAGAAAAGAGGCCGCGGACGUCCUAGAAAGAGGCCGCUGGAAACCGGAACUGCAGGAGCGGGGGUUCCUGCAUCCACAGUGAAGAGAGGCCGUGGUAGGCCAAGAAAGGAGAAGACAUUGGAAACUGGGGACUUGAAAGUUGCACAGAUGACGGAGGGUCAACAUAAAGCUCUGCCUGCACAAGCUGUAGACCAAGGUGGGCUUAUGCAAAAUGAAGUUGAAGCUAGGAUUUUGCAAUCCUUUGGUACUCCUUUGAUGGAGAAGAGAGGUCGUGGGCGACCUAGAAAGAGGCCUCUGGAAACUGAAACUACAGAAACCCAAGUUGAUGCAUUGGUGAAGAAGC
rnacentral:lncRNA from 1 species